GCGGGUGUAACUCAAUGGUAGAGUGUCAGCUUCCCAAGCUGAAAGUUGCGAGUUCGAGCCUCGUCACCCGCU
rnacentral:tRNA from 1 species